ACUUUAGCUCAGUCGGUAGAGCAACGCAUUCGUAACGCGUAGGUCGUGGGUUCGAUUCCCAU
rnacentral:tRNA from 1 species